rnacentral:tRNA from 1 species
GCCUGACUGGCUCAGUGGAAGAGCAUGUACUGUUGAUCUUGAGAUCAUGAGUUCAAGUCCCAUGUUGGGUA